GCCAGGCAUGGUGGUGCAUGCCUGUAAUCCCAGAGACUUGGGAGGCUGAGGCAGGAAGAUUGUGAGUUCAAAGCCAGUCUCAGCAUCUU
rnacentral:sRNA from 1 species